rnacentral:miRNA from 1 species
AUUGAACUUGUACGAUUUGG